AUACGGAGGGUGCAAGCGUUACUCGGAAUCACUGGGCGUAAAGGACGCGUAGGCGGAUUGGAAAGUCAGAUGUGAAAUCCUACAGCUUAACUGUAGAACUGCAUUUGAAACUUCUAAUCUAGAGUAUGUGAGGGGGAGAUGGAAUUAGUGGUGUAGGGGUAAAAUCCGUAGAUAUCACUAGGAAUACCGAAAGCGAAGGCGAUCUCCUGGAACAUAACUGACGCUAAGGCGUGAAAGCGUGGGGAGCAAACAGGAUUAGAAACCCUAGUAGUCC
rnacentral:rRNA from 1 species